GUGUGUGUGUGUGUGUGUGUGUGUGUGUGUGUGUGUAUGAGAGAGAGAGACAGAGACAGAGACAGAGACAGACUUGGCCAUUGAGAAAUUGCCUUAACUUCUAUGGAGAAGACAAGAAAGUUCUAAUCUUAGACAUGGCCUUUCCCCUUUGCCAGGGUUUCUGUGGAGGAAUCUUGAAGGAUGGGGUCAAGGAUUCCUAUGGCUAGAAUAGUCCAUUGCCUAGAAAACUGUGGACUAAUGCACAUGUUUGAGAAGCAGAUCCCCAUGAAAAGCUGGGCUUUGGUGAUGGCAGUUAACAACAGGGAGCUAAACCACCUGUCGGUUGGCUGUGACAUCCACAAAGGCCUCAGAAGGACAAGAGUAGUCAUGUUCAUAUGGAGACAGGACCCAGGAGAAAGGAGAGGACCAAUAACUGUCUCCAGGAAUCUCUAACUGCAAUGUUAGAGGUGGUCAGACCAGGUUGCAUCUUGCCAGGAGAAGAGGAAGGGAUCCAGAUGGCUGUACCUCUCUCUCUCAGGAAAUGCCUGACUGUCCCUGUAUCAGAUCUAGGAUGUCCAGCACAGCUGUGCAGACUUCCCAUGCCCCAAAUCCCUUGAGGUCUUUUAAAGAGGAAGGGAUUGGGCAGUGGUGGCAACUCGUACCUAAUCACACCUGGACCACUUCCUUCCUGGGCUUGCACCCUGCUUCCUGACCCUGCUCGGCCUGUGUGUGCACAGGAGAAAGAGGGGGCAGAUGGGCUGGGAGAGAUCACGUGGAAGCAGGGUGCCAUCCAUGGAAAAGGAACAGUAAUGGGACUCAGGGCCUGGACUUUUAGCUGGAGUAGCUGACGUGACCAUUUUUACUAAAUGUUUCAGUUUGCACACACACAAACCCCUGCCCCGCAACUCCCCCCUCCCCGCCACGUUUCCACUGGGUGGUGCUAUAAGAAUUCCUACCUUUUUGCCUCAGGAGUUUCCCCCUUCCCAGAAAGCCGCCUCUGCGACAUAAUAGAAGGAAGUCCUGAUUUAGAAAGGUUUUACAGUUUCAACACAAUGAGAGAGUUGGAGGAUGCUCUGGCAGGAAGUGCCCCAGUUGCUGGAUGUGGAAAAACCGCCAUCACUGUGUGUCCUGCAGAAAUGAUCUCAGUGCACGGGGCUUGUGUUUUUUACUUCCACCAGUCGCCUCUUUAGCACAAAAAAAGUCUUCUGAGAGACGCCAGUUUUCCGUCUCCCAGAAGUAGCAUAGAAGAUGGCCCUUAGUUUAUUUUUUUUAAUGUAAAACCAUCUUCAAGUAUCAAAGUGAAUAAGCCAUCCCUAAUCUUAAAUCAAGCAUAGAGGUCCCUACGUCCCCCCUGAAUGCACAGGACUGGACUUAUUCACAUUGUAAGCUAGGAAAUUUGGAGAAAGGUUUACCAGCCCAGCCAAGGAAAGACACCCAGUGUUGUUUGCGGGGAGGCGUGCCCACCUCUUUACAGUGAAGCGCAAAUUUAAAGACAGCCGGAGAGAUUCUAGUAAGUUAAACUGUCUGUCUCUGUGUGAUGAAAAGUUACCAAGGCUGCUCUGUGUACCAGGUCCCUUCCACGGGUGACCACACACAGGCCAGUGGCUCCUAGGCUGUUCUCCACCGAAGGAACGAUUCUCCUGACUGAAUUCUGAGUACCAUGAACCGUUGAUGUUUGGGGAUAGGUCUUGCUUCCAUCGUCAGGUUCCACAAUCCUUGUGAAAUAAAAGGACCAGUCCUUCCAAGUCUCAGUUCUGGAAUUCACAGAGCCUCGUGUCCUGAGUUUUCAUUAAGAGCCAACCUCGAGCUAGGCCUGGUGGCACAGGCCUGAAAUCCCAGCUCCUCAGGAGGCUGUGUCACGCACGCACGUACAUUGCAAAUUCAAGGUCAACUCAGAAUCCACAGAGAAUUCUGGAUCAGCCUGCACCUUACUCAGAUUUUGACUCAAAAAUGUAAAAAAGCGCAGAGCCGGAGAGAUGGACCUCUGGAAGAGCAGCCAGUGCCCUUAACCACUGAGCCACCUCUCCAGCCCUACAAACCCUAUUGACCUAUGUUCAAACAUACACACGUUUAGAUCUAUAUGAAGAAACAUGGAUAGACUAUUUUACCCCAGGGAGUUCUCAAAAAGGGUUCAUGGGUCAAAUGCACAAGAAGCUCCUUCCCUGUGGCUGGGAUGAUGUGUGUAUUCACAUUUAUUUUAGAUGUGAUAUUGUAUGUUUUAGGUGGAAUAUAUGAGAUUGUUGCUGUUUAACAGUUUCCAUCCAUAAGAACAACAAUUUCAUGUCCUUCCGCCUGGUAGAUCCCGAUGCUGUGGGGAAACACGACUUGGAAUAACCUCACGAUGAGACCGGCUAUUUGAUGAGGUGCACAUUUACAGUUCCCUUUCCUGUUAUGCAUCAAAGCCUGGCAAAUUAAAACUCAUCAGGCAGCCUGUAAAUCUACUUACCCAGAAUGACUUGUGUUGUGCCUGAUGUUAUGAAAUCGUCUUAAGCUCUCACUGGAGAGGCGAUUGAAUUCAUGGGAUUGGUUGCUCGGGAGAAGCCAAAAAUCCUACAGGAGCCUUCUGAGCCGCAGGCACACGGCUGUUCUUUCAGAGAGUGGUUCGGGCCCGUCGUGCGGAGGGUUAAAAUAGAGCUGACACACAGACCGAGUGAAACCAGAGCUGCAGUUACAAAGUGGGACAGAUGUGGGAGGGUCAGGUUUCCUGUGGUCCGUUUUCCAGUUUCCUGCCUGCAACCUGCAGAAGAAGAGGAAGCUCAGUGUUAGCAAGCCGGAGAGCCCUCGGAUGGGGGGCUGUGCCGCCAGCCAGAAAUAAGAGUCGCGCAAAGAACCCGGGACAAUAAAAACAAUAGCGCAGAAAGUAAAUGGUCAGGUUCUCUUCCAGAAACCUCUGGAAAGGAACGGCCUUCUGUUUAAAGAAAAACAUUCUCGCCAUCCCUGGGGCAGGG
ensembl:lncRNA